CCCUUAGAUGUUCUGGGCCGCACGCGCGCUACACUGAUCAGUGCAACAAGGAUCCGUCCUUGGCCGACAGGCCCGGGCAAUCUUUGAACGCUGAUCGUGAUGGGGAUAGACUUUUGCAAUUUUUGGUCUUCAACGAGGAAUUCCUAGUAAACGCAAGUCAUCAACUUGCAUUGAUUACGUCCCUGCCCUUUGUACACACCGCCCGUCGCACCUACCGAUUGAAUGGUCCGGUGAAGCCUCCGGAUUGGCGCGCACCUCGGUGCCGCCGAGAAGUUGGCUAAACCUUACCAUUUAGAGGAAGGUGAAGUCGUAACA
rnacentral:rRNA from 1 species